CAGGCCAUCACCUCCUGCAACUCCACCACCCAAAACUCGGCAUUCCCCAACACCCCAGCAGUCAAACCGUACAAGAAAAAGUCGUGUUUCUGUGUCUCCAGGGAGAACUUCAGUGACAAAACAUAAAGGUACUGAGAAAAGAGAAUCCCCUUCACCAGCACCGAAGCCUAGAAAAGUAGAGUUAUCUGAAUCGGAAGAUAAAGGUGGCAAAAUGGCUGCAGCAGAUUCUGUGCAGCAGAGACGCCAAUACAGACGACAAAACCAGCAGUCUUCAUCUGACUCUGGCUCCUCCUCCUCCUCAGAAGAUGAACGACCCAAGAGAUCCCAUGUGAAGAAUGGUGAGGUUGGCAGGCGGCGGAGACAUUCCCCUUCCCGGAGUGCUUCUCCAUCACCACGAAAGCGCCAAAAAGAGACUUCCCCUCGGAUGCAGAUGGGAAAGCGAUGGCAAUCGCCAGUGACUAAAAGUGGUAGACGGAGGAGAAGUCCAUCCCCACCA
rnacentral:sRNA from 1 species